UCGGGAAUUUUGGGCAAUGGGCGAAAGCCUGACCCAGCAACGCCGCGUGAAGGAUGAAGUAUUUCGGUAUGUAAACUUCGAAAGAAUAGGAAGAAUAAAUGACGGUACUAUUUAUAAGGUCCGGCUAACUACGUGCCAGCAGCCGCGGUAAUACGUAGGGACCAAGCGUUGUUCGGAUUUACUGGGCGUAAAGGGCGCGUAGGCGGCAUGACAAGUCACUUGUGAAAUCUCUGGGCUUAACUCGGAACGGUCAGAUGAUACUGCUUUGCUAGAGUGCAGAAGGGGCAAUCGGAAUUCUUGGUGUAGCGGUGAAAUGCGUAGAUAUCAAGAGGAACACCUGAGGUGAAGACGGGUUGCUGGGCUGACACUGACGCUGAGGCGCGAAAGCCAGGGGAGCAAACGGGAUUAGAUACCCUUGUAGUCCCUGAGCGGGCUGGCAAGGCGCAU
rnacentral:rRNA from 1 species